UUACCAACCCGAUGCAAACUGCGAAUACCGGAGAAUGUUAUCACGGGAGACACACGGCGGGUGCUAACGUCCGUCGUGAAGAGGGAAACAACCCAGACCGCCAGCUAAGGUCCCAAAGUCAUGGUUAAGUGGGAAACGAUGUGGGAAGGCCCAGACAGCCAGGAUGUUGGCUUAGAAGCAGCCAUCAUUUAAAGAAAGCGUAAUAGCUCACUGGUCGAGUCGGCCUGCGCGGAAGAUGUAACGGGGCUAAACCAUGCACCGAAGCUGCGGCAGCGACGCUUAUGCGUUGUUGGGUAGGGGAGCGUUCUGUAAGCCUGUGAAGGUGUGCUGUGAGGCAUGCUGGAGGUAUCAGAAGUGCGAAUGCUGACAUAAGUAACGAUAAAGCGGGUGAAAAGCCCGCUCGCCGGAAGACCAAGGGUUCCUGUCCAACGUUAAUCGGGGCAGGGUGAGUCGACCCCUAAGGCGAGGCCGAAAGGCGUAGUCGAUGGGAAACAGGUUAAUAUUCCUGUACUUGGUGUUACUGCGAAGGGG
rnacentral:rRNA from 1 species